rnacentral:rRNA from 1 species
CCUACGGGGGGCAGCAGUCGAGAAUCAUUCACAAUGGGGGAAACCCUGAUGGUGCGACGCCGCGUGGGGGAAUGAAGGUCUUCGGAUUGUAAACCCCUGUCAUGUGGGAGCAAAUUAAAAAGAUAGUACCACAAGAGGAAGAGACGGCUAACUCUGUGCCAGCAGCCGCGGUAAUACAGAGGUCUCAAGCGUUGUUCGGAAUCACUGGGCGUAAAGCGUGCGUAGGCUGUUUCGUAAGUCGUGUGUGAAAGGUGCGGGCUCAACCCGCGGACGGCACAUGAUACUGCGAGACUAGAGUAAUGGAGGGGGAACCGGAAUUCUCGGUGUAGCAGUGAAAUGCGUAGAUAUCGAGAGGAACACUCGUGGCGAAGGCGGGUUCCUGGACAUUAACUGACGCUGAGGCACGAAGGCCAGGGGAGCGAAAGGGAUUAGAUACCCGGGUAGUC